GACGAACGCUGGCGGCGUGCUUAACACAUGCAAGUCGAACGAUGAACCCGGAGCUUGCUCCGGCGGAUUAGUGGCGAACGGGUGAGUAACACGUGAGUAACCUGCCCUUGACUCUGGGAUAACUGCGGGAAACUGUAGCUAAUACCGGAUACGACCCUCGGCGGCAUCGCCAGGGGGUGGAAAGAAUUUCGGUCAAGGAUGGACUCGCGGCCUACCAGCUAGUUGGUGAGGUAACGGCUCACCAAGGCGACGACGGGUAGCCGGCCUGAGAGGGUGACCGGCCACACUGGGACUGAGACACGGCCCAGACUCCUACGGGAGGCAGCAGUGGGGAAUAUUGCACAAUGGGCGCAAGCCUGAUGCAGCAACGCCGCGUGAGGGAUGACGGCCUUCGGGUUGUAAACCUCUUUUAGUAGGGAAGAAGCGAAAGUGACGGUACCUGCAGAAAAAGCACCGGCUAACUACGUGCCAGCAGCCGCAGUAA
rnacentral:rRNA from 1 species